GGAGGGGUGGGCAGCUGAAAGGAGUCGUAGCGGGACAUGUUGUUUCGGCCUGGCAUUCGAGAGGGCCUAGUGCACUGUUCGGUUAACUUCUUGUGUCUGAGGUUUUUCCCUUCACUUUAACAUGAAUGAAGUUGAUGGGUUUUAGGCACUGUGGUAACUGAUUAUUAUUUUAUUGAUGAAGGGACUUUUAGAUUGGUUCAGCUGCUGCUCACUAACUCUCACGUUCCUCUGCUCGCGAUGCGAUUCACAUAUCGAUCAAUUUAUUCAAAAGAUCCAAAGACAAAGAACAGGUACAUUAUGGUAUCAUUUUAUAUUAUUAUUUAUAGUCUUAUUGUUAAUAGCUCAGUCGCGUUGGUAUUUAAUUUUUCAUUUGCUCGUUUAGCUAUGUAUGACAGUUAACAAUGUUGGUGUAUUACAAUUAUUUACGCGUGUAGGCCACUCCAACUCUCUUGAAAUUUCCAAUAGAUUAGUGUGCUCUCUCAGAGCUGGGAGAUUUCAUCCUUAUUUUAACAUAUUACUCGAGACGGUGUUUCUCACAGCGUUCUCGGGUUCAUGCGUCCAUGCAUACACGUCUCCUACUCAGACUUUUCCCCUACACGGGGUAUUUAAUUUUUCAUUUGCUUGUUUAGCUAUGUAUGACAGUUAACAAUUUUGGUGUAUUACAAUUAUUUAUGCGUGUCGGCCACUCCAACUCACACUCGAUAUUUUGACUAGAUUAGUGUGCUCUCUCAGAGCUGGGAGAUUUCAUCCUUAUUUUAACAUAUUACUCGAGUCAGUGUUUCUCACAGCGUUCUACGGGUUCAUGCGUUCUACGGGUUCAUGCGUUCUACGGGUUCAUGUGUUCUACGGGUUCAUGCGUUCUACGGGUUUACGCGUUCUACGGGUUUACGCGUUCUACGGGUUUACGCGUUCUUGGGUUUAUGCGUUCUUGCGUUCAUGCGCAAAUGCGUACACGUCUCCUACUCAGACUUUUUCCCCUACACGGGGCCUGACUUUCGCCGAUGUCACCUUCUCUUUCUUGCAAGGCAUUUUUCCAUCUAAAAGCGAUAGCCUAGGAGCAGCUGUUACCAUUAUCAUUUCAAGAAUCAACAACUCCCUGUCCUUACGCUUCCAUGUUCCUUUAUCUCAAGCUUCGGCAACGCACGUCCCCGAAUCACCUGUUUAUUUGCGGCCUGCCAAUGCCUAAAGGGUGGUUCAGAGUCCAUCUCGCGACGGUGGUAGAAGGGUGCGGCCUACCAUCUCCCCUCUACACUGGCCACUCCUCCCGGAUUGGAGCGGCAACCACAGCCGCUGAACAAGGGUUGCCGGUCGCGUCUAUCAAACGGCUGGGAAGGCGGUCUUCCACAGCUUACGAAUCCUACAUCCGGUUGAAUUCAUGGUUCUUCCUUCAAGCGCACACGAUGCUCUAACGUCGGUUAAGGCAGGUUCAUCACGUUUGCUACUACAGCUGUUUUUGGCGGCCUGUUUCCAUUCUAGUUUUAGUCUUAGUGUCAAGGUGUCAUUUUUUUAUUAGUUUAGUCACGUUCAUACUCUUUCCAGUGAUAUCGAAAUUCCGUUUAGGUAUUAUCAAAGAUACAAGUGCGUAGAUUUGUUAAAUAAGGUAAAUGGUCGAAAAUUGACGUAGUUAUGUCUCAACAGUUGAAGUUCCAGUUGGACAAAAUAACGUUAUUAGUUUAUCGCCUAGUUUAGGUCAACGGAAAUGAAGACAUUUUAGCAGUCUUAUUUUGUAAAACACUUUCAGUGUCGUUUGUAUUCGCCAACAACAUUGCACUUCGUAUUUAAUUAUAGUUAUUGUCAUAUGACCAGCAUUGUUCUCCUCACGCGAUAAAGGUUCGUUGAUGACGACAUUUAGUCAUAAUUUUCGGUGCCAAAAGCAACACUAUUCGCAACUACCGGCGGUGGUGGUUAUCAGGUACUAAAUUCAUCAAGCAAAAUUCGGUUUCAUAACUCAGGUUAACCUGCAGCAACCCCGGCGAGUGUGACCACGUCGGUGGAUCAUCUAGAAAACACUCUUGAGUUCGCUGUCACGUCAGUGGCGUAACAUAGGAAAAUAAAACUCAAGGUUGCAGUGGCAACCCCGGUGAGUGCGUGACCACGUCGGUGGCACAUCAAGGGCACUCGUGAGUAUGACCACGUCGUACUCACGAGAAACAGACUCAUUCAGUCUGUUUCUCUGCUUGGUUUUGAUGUGAGUCAGGGCUGAGAAGGUCACUUCACACAUGUAAGUUGAUCCAAAAGGCAAUAGUUCAUUUAAUGCACAUUUCCCCAGCUCAGGAUAUUCCUUUUCAACUUCACACCAAAACUCAGUCAGUGACUUUU
ensembl:lncRNA